CCUACGGGUGGCUGCAGUGAGGAAUAUUGGUCAAUGGGCGCGAGCCUGAACCAGCCAAGUAGCGUGAAGGAUGACUGCCCUACGGGUUGUAAACUUCUUUUAUCAAGGAAUAAAGUGAGGCACGUGUGCCUUUUUGUAUGUACCUUAUGAAUAAGGAUCGGCUAACUCCGUGCCAGCAGCCGCGGUAAUACGGAGGAUCCGAGCGUUAUCCGGAUUUAUUGGGUUUAAAGGGAGCGUAGAUGGGUGGUUAAGUCAGUUGUGAAAGUUUGCGGCUCAACCGUAAUAUUGCAAUUGAGCAUGGCAGUCUUGAGUACAGGUGAGGUAGGCGGAAUGCGUGGUGUAGCGGUGAAAUGCAUAGAGAUCACGAAGAACUCCGAUUGCGAAGGCAGCGUACUAAACUGCCACUGACAUUGAUGCUCGAAAGUGUGGGUAUCAAACAGGAUUAGAUACCCGUGUAGUC
rnacentral:rRNA from 1 species